GGGGGAAUGUGAAAAAAAACUAUGGACUAGGGUAUUGUUUAUUAAGAUUUAUGUUAAGCUCAAUGUAAAGGCUAGGCAACAAAAUUAAAUCGCUUAUGCAAACAGCUACCAGACACCGCUUGUGUAAGAUAAGAUAACCGCAAUCGCUUACACAAAUUAAACCAGAUACCGCUUGUGCAAGAUAACCGCCAGAUUUCCAGGAACCGACAGAAACAGGACAAACAACCCCAUAUAAGGACAUAUGAGUGAGGGGUCAGAAAACGACCCCCUAAC